CCUUCCAGGGAAGAGAGUGUUCGUGACGCGGGCGGCCCCCAAAUCCGCAUAACAAUCUCUGUUGCCCCCCCGCCAAAAUCCUCAGAUCCCCUUGCUGCAGUGCAGAUCUCUCUAUAAUCCGCGCUCGUGGCGACCUCUCCUCCAGCUUCCGUUCCUGAAAUCCAUCUCUAGUUUCGCCAUUUGGGUUUUUUCUCGAGGGUUUCGCUCCUCACUCAUCUGAUUUAACGAAGGGAGCUGGGUCACACCCACAGGCCGCGGCUUCUGAAAUUCGAUGGCCGUGGCUGCAGCGCGCCUGACGCUCCCAGAUCGAUUCGACGAGGUUUACAUAGCCUCUGCCCGGUGAAAAGAUGGGCUCGUGGGUUAUACGCGCCUCGCACAUGCACGAGCUGAAUUUCUUCUCGCCUUUUCGAUCAUGACGUCUUUCGUUUUUUUGACGUAUAUGAUUUUCCCUGGUGCUAGCGCCGAGCGCAACUGUGGUUGAGAUCCAAUGCUCCUCGUUACUCCGUCCACCUUUACCUAUGGACCAGUUUGCAUGUAGUUGCAGUCUUUUUCUAAUGUCGAUAAUCUGAUGUUGUGGCUAGUUCUCCUCGAGUGGCAAUAUAAUAUUCUCCGGAUGCACAUGAUUUGGAUCAUCCGCUGUGGAGUUUAGGGUUUUGUUCAGGUUUUACAGGCUCUGCUUUCUGGUAUCUAGCAGUGUUUGUUUCUUUCGUUCUGAAUCUCGCUUUUCGUUCUGAAUCAUCUCUCGUUUCGGGACAUCCUGAGUCAUCUAAUUUUUUCCUUUUGAAUAACGUCUCCUACUAAGACGGGUAUACCCUUUUCAAGCAUUGGAUUUAUCAGUUAUUAUUACCCAUGUCUCUCCUUUUUCUUUUCAAGAAUAUAUCUCUUACUUAUUAUUUAUAUACAUCAUGAUAAGCCUCAGCACUAAGAGACAAUGUUCAUAUUUGUGUGUAUAAAUAGGGAAGUCAAUGGAUCAGGAUCCAAAUGUUUUUUCACAAUAUGGUUAAUUAAUUUUAGUUUAAAAAUAAAUAAAAAUAUACAUUUAAAUAAUUUUAGUUUAAAAAUCAUAUGAAUAGAGUUUAAUCCUAAUCUAAUUUGAUCUUUAAAUUUUAUAGUCUAAAAUCUAAACCACAUUACCACCUCUAUGUACGGUGUUAGUAUUUUUUUAACAAAAUCCGAGCCUAAACGAGUAUUUUAGCUCGUGAGCUUAUUGGGCCGUAUGUCUGAGCAGUCCAAGUCCCAGAUCUAGGGUUCCUAGUUCCUUCCACAAUACUGGCACUCGACUCCCAGUCCCAGAGGCUACGGCGGCUACCUUCUCACUUCUAGGUUCGCUCUGAAUCCAGCGGCGCGAAGAGCACCGCGCUCCUUUCCGGCUCGCACCGAAGCCCUAAUACCGUCUUCUUCCGUCCGGCGCGGACUGCUGGGUUCCCGUUCCCGCAUCGCGGACUGCUGGGUUCGCCGUUUCUGCACGGUGCGGACGCCAUGUCGGGUGUCGGCCCACCCCCGUGAAGCGGUUUUGCCGCCCAUGAUCCCGGAAAAAACCCAAUCGAGGCGUCAAGUCGAUCCCUGUCCCCAGGCGAUCGGCGGCGGCGGAUCGUUUCCGUUGCAGACAGCAGGUCCUAGAGCGUCAACGGCUGGCCUCUGGAUGCGAUGUCCCAAGAAUGACGUACUCCCCUCACCUACGUUUUACGGGGGCCACCCUGCUGCGUUGAUUUCCUCCGGCUGAAAUUUUGGAGGACUGAUUGGAGGGAUUCAGCGUCAUGGCGCUGUGUGGAGGAAAUGCUCUUGUGGUGGCUGCCACCCCAGGCUUUCAACAUCGUGUCCGAGUUCGGCUCAUUUUCCGGUGUGGGACCUAACUUAUCUGGUUUGUUCUGCUGCUUCAGUUGAGUGAGCAGGGACAAGGUGGGCUGACUGUUCUUCGUCGAACUAAGCAGCAAAGACUCGUCGUCCGUCGGUUUGUUUGCCUUCUCUCUGCUCAGCAUUGUCCUGAAAAUAUGUACAAUGUUUUCGAAAUGAGAAUUAUUAUUAUGAAUGCUAAGUGGCAACUAACAUUAUUUAGAACCAUAACAUACUAAUACUGUUCCAGAUUAGUACUUGAAAAUGAAGCAUCGUCGAUGCUCUUAUAAUAGGAUUCACAAGUAUUAAGUUGGGAUUUUAUUAUUCAGAUAUGAUGCUAAAACAAGGAGAUGACUCUGGUGGUAUUUACCUGUUUAAGCUAUCUGUCCAAUAGCUGCCAGUGCCUGGCUUGGAGUCAUUAACUUUUGCCUUCUUCAAGCUACCUUGUGGCCCGGCACACGGCAACGAGCCAGCAGCAGCGGUAGUCACCUCCUUGGUGGCCUUUCUAGGUUGGUUUUCCACAGGCUUUCUUGAACGGUGGCGGUUCCUAUUGAUGUGGCGCUCGCAGUACUUGUGAUCAGGCAUCGCCUCCUUGGAGCACCGCCACUUCUUUCCGUCUGUCCGCCGGCACCUCCCAGGUUCUGGGUCGGAGUCUGCGUUUGCGUAGCCUUGGUAAAGAGGCCUCCAGCUCACUGCGUUAGAGAGUCUGUCAAGCUCUGAUUACAUUUAUACUCAAAAAGGCAAUACAGUGGUCAAUCUUUAUGGCAUAUAUAAUGGUUUGGUUAUUCUUUAUUCAUUUGUGCAAAAUAAUAUAUGUACUUUCUCUCUCUUCUCGUUUGGUUUAUUUAUUGCAGGUGCUAGCAUAACAGCUUUGAAGUAGAGAACCUCCUUUUUAGUCUUGUGGUUGAGAACAUGCAUGCAUACCUCUGUUGGAUGACCUGAAGCUCUUGCUGAUGGAAACGAGCAGGCUGGAAGCAGUGACAGUGAGUUGACAACGGGUACCACGGACGGUGUAGCAGCGAGCGGUUAAAUAAAGCAGAAUCUCAAAUCUACAGCCCAAGGUAAAUACGAGGAAGUAAAUGGCGGGGCUUCAUCCAUGUGACGGCCACAGGACGCAAAUGUGACGCCUCCUCGCGCGCCAAUGUUAAACCGGAGGGCAUUGACUCCUCCUGGAGAGGGAGAGAGAAGGGGACUUUUACUGCCUGAGUAUCUGUGAAGACGGCAGCACCUUUAGGCCUCCAUUGAAGCAAACAACAAACACGAGGAGUAUUUGGCACAGUAAUACUGUAACAGGAGGAGCCACUCCUACGGACCGUUAGUGCGUUGGGGUGCUUGCUUGUGGCCAGGAGUCAAAAAUCACAUCCGACUCCAAGAACGCCACCACAGCUUAGCCCGCGCGCCAAACAUGGCAGCUACAUGGAAAGUACGCGAUGCCGCGCCAGGCGCUUUGGCAGCAGUGAGCAGGCUCCAUGGGCCUGCCGCCGCCGCUGCUGCUGCUGCGCGGUCACGAGGUUGAGGUGACGCUUUUCAAGUCCGCCUCCUUCGCCUUCCCCUCCUGGACGGGCGUAUGGCUGGGGCUUCAUUCAUUGCCCGCCUAGGAGCACACAGCAGAUCAAGCAGCCAAGCCCACGCACGGCACCAACCCAGCUUCUUCUUACGGCGCGGCGGCCCAAUUUCUUUGUCACGACAACGACAACGACGACGUGCCAGCGGGAAACCUUUGUACUAGCUGUUAGUAUGUACUCCAUACAGUAUCGUCACCAUUCUUAUGUGUGUGGCUGUGUGCAGGCCAGACAACGGAGAUUUGACAGAACCUAUGCACGGCACACUUGGAUACGCUGCGCCGACCCCCUUCUCUCGGCACCGCCCGCACGGCCGCACGGCUACCUGCUACAGAGUACUACUCCUAGUACGCACGUACAGGGGUGUACGUGGGUAUUGCUGCCAACUGUGCAGCGUCGCGCACGGGCCAUCAAUGUGAUUUGAUGCCUCAGUCAUGUGCCCGCUUCAACAGCCUGCGUCUGCGUGUCUCGUGGACGACGGCAAGGCCAAGGCCCGCCAACGGCAGCCCAGCUAGACUCCAGCCGUAUAUAGGAGGAAAGAAUACAAUGGACCACCACUCAGGAGGAGGCAGGACGAUAUUUUGUACCCACUGCUGUACUCGUCACUCAGGAGUUGGAGUGGGGAGAGGUGCUGGGGCGCAGAGCGGCCGCAUCGGCGUGUCGGUGUGGCUGAGCAGUGGAGUGGAGUGGGUGUGCCGCAAAUGGACUUACUAUAUAAAAGUUCGAUUAUUUUGUUGUAUAUCUAAGUCUAGGUAUAAAAGGUUACAGAGAUUGAGGUGACACUAUGGCCCCCCAAGUAUUAAAUGUACAACUUGUAUCAUAGGAGAGUUAUUAUAUAACUAGAUUUGUAGUUAGCUACUAUAUGUGACAUGAUGACAUUAUAAAAUCCCA